GGCUUCCCGGGACCGGGUGCCGUCUGGUGCAGCGUACGGUUUCGCCGCCGACGCAUUUGACUCCCUUCCGAGGGACGCCGCAGCCGAUUGGGUAGCUGCAAGCGCGACGGCCAGAGAGGAGGGAGCCGGCAGGUGGCCGGUGGCGGGACUCGUUCCUUCCGCCGGUUGUUAGCCUUCCCUUCGGUGGCCCGUCACCCGAUCGAGGUACCACUAAGCCCUGUCAUGGGGCUUCUUCGACUCCUCCGUAGGAUGCGGGACAUACCGUUGCAGGCGUGGCCCCGUCGCAUGUCGCACUCCGAGCGAGUGGGCGAGCGUGAGGGACGCGUUGUUGGCGAUGGCGGACCCGUGCGGAGAUUCGGAGGCUGGCGGCGAGUAGGUCGGUCACCCACCCGACCCGUCUUGAAACACGGACCAAGGAGUCUAACAUGUGCGCGAGUCGUCGGGUCUUGUUUAGGCCCGUAGGCGCAAUGAAAGCGAAGGCCUUCCUCGCGUUGGCCGAGUCGGGAUCCCUGGGCUCGUCCU
rnacentral:rRNA from 1 species